rnacentral:lncRNA from 1 species
UAGCCAUCGUUUCUGUCUCAGCUUGAUCGUUCUGCUUCUUUAGAUUGCGCAAGGUCUUGUUGAUUUCAGGGUCUAACUCAAAGAGAGGAUUCCCGUGAGAUCGUGUGUUCAUAUGCAACCUACAGAAACACAACUUAUAAAAUUAGAAAAGAAAAAUAAAAACAAAAAAAACUUGCAGUACUAUAAAGUCCUAUUGGAAAUAUUAAAGCAAAAUCUAAACAGUCCCCGGCAACGGCGCCAAAAAGUUGAUCACUAUUUUAUUAGCAACAAAAUACCGCAACUAACACGGUGCAAUCGUAGUAUAAACAGCAAUCGGAUAUCGUAUCCACAGGGACUGUAAAACGAAAU